UACGGGGGGAGCAAGCGUUGUUCGGAUUUACUGGGCGUAAAGGGCGCGUAGGCGGCCACCGCAAGUCGACUGUGAAAUCUCCGGGCUUAACCCGGAAAGGUCAGCCGAUACUGCGGGGCUAGAGUGCAGAAGGGGCAACUGGAAUUCUCGGUGUAGCGGUGAAAUGCGUAGAUAUCAGGAGGAAUACCGAUGGCGAAGGUAGGUCUCUGGGCUGACACUGACGCUCAUGCACGAAAGCGUGGGGAGCAAACAGG
rnacentral:rRNA from 1 species